ACUCCUACGGGAGGCAGCAGUGGGGAAUAUUGCACAAUGGGCGCAAGCCUGAUGCAGCCAUGCCGCGUGUGUGAAGAAGGCCUUCGGGUUGUAAAGCACUUUCAGUCGUGAGGAAGGUAGUGUAGUUAAUAGCUGCAUUAUUUGACGUUAGCGACAGAAGAAGCACCGGCUAACUCCGUGCCAGCAGCCGCGGUAAUACGGAGGGGUGCGAGCGUUAAUCGGAAUUACUGGGCGUAAAGCGCAUGCAGGUGGUUUGUUAAGUCAGAUGUGAAAGCCCGGGGCUCAACCUCGGAAUAGCAUUUGAAACUGGCAGACUAGAGUACUGUAGAGGGGGUAGAAUUUCAGGUGUAGCGGUGAAAUGCGUAGAGAUCUGAAGGAAUACCGGUGGCGAAGGCGGCCCCCUGGACAGAUACUGACACUUAGAUGCGAAAGCGUGGGGAGCAAACAGGAUUAGAUACCCUGGUAGGAUAGCG
rnacentral:rRNA from 1 species